AUUGAACGCUGGCGGCAGGCCUAACACAUGCAAGUCGAGCGGAGCGGCGGACGGGUGAGUAAUGCCUAGGAAUCUGCCUGGUAGUGGGGGAUAACGUCCGGAAACGGGCGAUAAUACCGCAUACUAUCAGAUGAGCCUCGGUCGGAUUAGCUAGUUGGUGGGGGAAAGGACUACCAAGGCGACGAUCCGUAACUGGUCUGAGAGGAUGAUCAGUCACACUGGAACGUGGACACGGGCCAGAUGCAUACGGGAGGCAGCAGUGGGGAAUAUUGGACAAUGGGCGAAAGCCUGAUCCAGCCAUGCCGCGUGUGUGAAGAAGGUCUUCGGAUUGUAAAGCACGUUAAGUUGGGAGGCGUUACCAACAGAAUAAGCACCGGCUAACUUCGUGCCAGCAGCCGCGGUAAUAC
rnacentral:rRNA from 1 species